GAUGAACGCUAGCGGCAGGCUUAACACAUGCAAGUCGAGGGGUAGAGGAAGCUUGCUUCCUUGAGACCGGCGCACGGGUGCGUAACGCGUAUACAAUCUACCUUUUACAGAGGGAUAGCCCCAGAGAAAUUUGGAUUAAUACCUCAUAGUAUUUUCGGAUCGCAUGAUUUGAUUAUUAAAGUUCCAACGGUAAAGAUGAGUAUGCGUCCCAUUAGCUAGUUGGUAAGGUAACGGCUUACCAAGGCUACGAUGGGUAGGGGUCCUGAGAGGGAGAUCCCCCCACACUGGUACUGAGACACGGACCAGACUCCUACGGGAGGCAGCAGUGAGGAAUAUUGGACAAUGGGGCGCAAGCCUGAUCCAGCCAUGCCGCGUGCAGGAUGACGGUCCUAUGGAUUGUAAACUGCUUUUGUACAGGAAGAAACACUACUUCGUGAAGUAGCUUGACGGUACUGUAAGAAUAAGGAUCGGCUAACUCCGUGCCAGCAGCCGCGGUAAAG
rnacentral:rRNA from 1 species